AAGCUCAAGCUGCUAGCACAGAUUCCACUUGUUAGGUUCAUCUCAUUUGGGGGCCCCAAAGCCCAAAGUCCAAAUAAAUUUGCUUGGUUUGCCAGCAAAAACAAUUGACCAGGCACCUCUAGAACCACCAACACCACCAGUUGAGCCAUAAUUGAGAAAAUCUAUUAGAGAACGGUGACCUUCUACUAGAUAUCCUCCACAUAAGUAUGUGAUGCUUACAGAUGUAAGGGAGCCAAAAUGUUUUGAAAAAGCCAUGUCUCACCAGCAUAAUAGUGAGUGGGUUAAAACCAU
rnacentral:lncRNA from 1 species